rnacentral:rRNA from 1 species
CUGGCGGCGUGCCUAACACAUGCAAGUCGAACGGAGAUUAAACGCUGAUGAGGCUUCGGCGGAUCUUGUUAAUCUUAGUGGCGGACGGGUGAGUAACGCGUGGGCAACCUGCCUCAUACUGGGGGAUAACAGCUGGAAACGACUGUUAAUACCGCAUAAGCGCACAGUGUCGCAUGACACAGUGUGAAAAAACUCCGGUGGUAUGAGAUGGGCCCGCGUCAGAUUAGCUAGUUGGUAAGGUAACGGCUUACCAAGGCGACGAUCUGUAGCCGGACUGAGAGGUCGGACGGCCACAUUGGGACUGAGACACGGCCCAAACUCCUACGGGAGGCAGCAGUGGGGGAUAUUGCACAAUGGAGGAAACUCUGAUGCAGCGACGCCGCGUGAGUGAAGAAGUAUCUCGGUAUGUAAAGCUCUAUCAGCAGGGAAGAAAGGCUCGAAAGAGAGAUGACGGUACCUGACUAAGAAGCCCCGGCUAACUACGUGCCAGCAGCGGC